UACAGAGGUCUCGAGCGUUAGGCGGAAUCACUGGGCUUAAAGCGUGUGUAGGCGGGUCGUUAAGUGCCUUGUGAAAUCCCAUGGCUCAACCAUGGAACUGCUGGGCAUACUGGCGAUCUUGUGCCACCUAGGGGCGAGCGGAACAGAUGGUGGAGCGGUGAAAUGCGUAGAUAUCAUCUGGAACGCCAAUGGUGAAAACGCUCGCUGGGGGUGUGCAGACGCUGAGACACGAAAGCCAGGGGAGCGAACGGG
rnacentral:rRNA from 1 species